UUGAACGCUGGCGGCAGGCUUAACACAUGCAAGUCGAGCGGAGAGAGGUAGCUUGCUACUGAUCUUAGCGGCGGACGGGUGAGUAAUACUUAGGAAUCUGGCUAUUAGUGGGGGACAACAUUUCGAAAGGGAUGCUAAUACCGCAUACGUCCUACGGGAGAAAGCAGGGGAUCUUCGGACCUUGCGCUAAUAGAUGAGCCUAAGUCGGAUUAGCUAGUUGGUGGGGUAAAGGCCUACCAAGGCGACGAUCUGUAGCGGGUCUGAGAGGAUGAUCCGCCACACUGGGACUGAGACACGGCCCAGACUCCUACGGGAGGCAGCAGUGGGGAAUAUUGGACAAUGGGGGGAACCCUGAUCCAGCCAUGCCGCGUGUGUGAAGAAGGCCUUAUGGUUGUAAAGCACUUUUCGGGAGGAUGAGGAAGGACGGUACUCCCGGAAUAAGUCUCGGCUAACUACGU
rnacentral:rRNA from 1 species